CUCCUCCCCCUGGAGCUAAGUACAGCAAAUGGUGACACUUCCCAAGGAGCAGAGAGGAAAGAUGCCCAAAGAAAUCACAACUCACUCUUGGUCUGUCAUUUGUGACUCCUUAAAAUGAGAGAUGGAGGACCUGACAAGAUGAUUCCUACUCACAACCCUCCCCAAGCCUGCGGCCCUGAAUGUGGAUGCCAGGACCCAUGUGUGGAAAGAGAACAUAGCUCCCGUGCAUUGUCCUCUGACCUCCAUGAGCACGCUGUGGGAGAGGUUACCGGACAGUGGGUGUCUCCGCUAACAAGGAAGAGGUGAAACGCUGACUGUUCACGGCAGGACCCCAGCUCGCUAUGGCUAACGUGGCAGGCAGACCCAAGUGCACCAGGGAAAGACCGAUCCUCAGCUUCAACAGUUGCAUGUUUGAGAAACAAAGUCUCCAGGAAAAGCACAUUCUCUCUGUCAGGGUUGCUCCUGUGCUCCUGUCAUCAGUCUGGCUCUCAAUUCCGGCUGCACAGGAGACACUUCCAGAAAACUUAGGGGGAUGCAGAAGAUGUAACAUCUAGGAUUUACCAGGGUGAGGUUUUAAUGUGGUCCAUCUUGGAUGAGGAACAGAAAUCAAAUCAUUUUUGCUACGGUUCCUCAUUUCCCAGGAGUCUCUUGGGUUCAGCUGGAUGGGAGGACCUUUCCAUUGUCCAGGGAGCACUGAGUCUUAGGACUCCUUCCAGCGGCAGUGCUCCCUCUUGAGACAGUCUGAAGAUGAGGUAGGAUGGGCAGCUUGCUUGGUGACUUCUGCCCUGUGCCCCAGUAUCCGACCGCACAUACCACUUCACCCUCUGGCACCCUUGUCUAAGACGCAUUAAGACCCCCCGCCCGCCCCCGCCUCUUCCAAUGUCCAGUAAAUCCCAACAAAGAUCCCCGUUUCCGCAGUGAAAUCUUCUGACUUCAGAGAGAGAUCAAAUACAGUUAUCACGAUGAAUGGCUGCAGCUCAAGGGACUCCAUGUUAAACAGCCGGCACGUCCCUUUGAAGGAAUAAGAGCUUCCUAACUAAGUUGCCGUUCUUGCUUUAUGUUCACUUCAAACGCUCCCUUUACACUUGACUAAAAAGAGGGAAGGGAGGAGAGGAGGUAAGGACGACGACACCCACAUCCAAAGGGUCGGAGGGACGGGACAUUCAAAAGAGCAGGAGAAAAGCCUCCCGGUUUGACGCUGCCUGAAAACUGAAAUUCCGGUGACCUGACCUUUUCAUUUCUGCAUUCACCCCACAGGUUCAGUAUUGGAAAAUCUCAAACACCGCCAGAACGCACACACACACACAAAAGAAGCUAAAAAGUGACUCACAAACCCAGCGCCUUCUUGUUUAUUUUCAGCAUCUAAACCGAAGGACGGAGCUUGGCCCUCUCCCUUUUCUCCAAAGGCGACUCAUGCAAAAAUGGCCUCAUAGUCGUUACCAUAUCCACAUCUUAGCCUGGCGUUUUAGCUUCUGUGCUAAGGGCCUCAUGCCAAUUCUGCCACUCAAUUCCUUCCAUAAGUCUCUGCUACGGUGUCCCCCGAGAGGCCAGGGCGCU